GACGAACGCUGGCGGCGUGCUUAACACAUGCAAGUCGAGCGGAAAGGCCCUUCGGGGUACUCGAGCGGCGAACGGGUGAGUAACACGUGAGCAACCUGCCCUAGGCUUUGGGAUAACCCCGGGAAACCGGGGCUAAUACCGAAUAGGACCACUGGCCGCAUGGCCGGUGGUGGAAAGUUUUUCGGCCUGGGAUGGGCUCGCGGCCUAUCAGCUUGUUGGUGGGGUGAUGGCCUACCAAGGCGACGACGGGUAGCCGGCCCGAGAGGGCGACCGGCCACACUGGGACUGAGACACGGCCCAGACUCCUACGGGAGGCAGCAGUGGGGAAUAUUGCACAAUGGGCGGAAGCCUGAUGCAGCGACGCCGCGUGAGGGAUGACGGCCUUCGGGUUGUAAACCUCUUUCAGCAGGGACGAAGCGUAAGUGACGGUACCUGCAGAAGAAGCGCCGGCCAACUACGUGCCAGCAGCCGCGGUAACAC
rnacentral:rRNA from 1 species